rnacentral:rRNA from 1 species
UACGGAGGGUGCAAGCGUUAUCCGGAAUCACUGGGUUUAAAGGGUGCGUAGGCGGCUAUGUAAGUCAGUUGUGAAAUACCUCGGCUUAACCGAAGGACGUGCGAUUGAUACUGCGUAGCUUGAAUCAAGUUGAGGUAGGCGGAAUGUGACAUGUAGCGGUGAAAUGCUUAGAUAUGUCAUAGAACACCGAUUGCGAAGGCAGCUUACUGGGCUAUGACUGACGCUGAUGCACGAAAGCGUGGGGAGCAAACAGG